GAUCUGGGAAAGAUGGGUGGAAGAGUUUUACACUAAAGAUGAGAACAAACAAACACACAAAGCAAAGUGAUCACAAUACCUCCUGGCGGAGGUAAAAAAGCUUUUUUUUUAAUUUUAUUUUAUCUGAUUUCUCGUGAAUUUUGGGUUUCAUAAUCAUGUUUAAUUUGUUUUUGUUUUGUUUUUUUUUUCCAUACAGUGAUGCUGUACGUCUUUGAAGCUGCAUGGACUUUGCCUUUAUUUCUUAUUAAUGUCACACAAGUCAUAUAAUGACAAUUAGAUUGAAACAUUUUUCCACAAAAUAAUCUCAAAAUCUGCUGCUUUUACUGUUUUUCUAGUUUUGCUUUCAGCAGCAUCUCAUGGUCUUAAUUUCAGUGAUUUUUAAUUGGUAUCUAUCACUGAUAUUUAGUUUCUGACACUGACUAACAUUUCUGAUUCAGGGGAAAAUAAAGUGACAUUAAAACAUAAAUAUCAGCCCCACCUCCCACAUAUUUAUUUUACACUUAGGCUGGUUUUCAAUUCCAGAUUUAGUGAGUUUCAUGUUCAGCGUCCCAGAUUUAUUUGACUUAAUGUCAUGUGUGUAUUUAUCACUUUGUCGAUCAACUCUUUAAGACCAUUGAGAAAUCAAAACCAUUAGGAAGAAAGUUAAGCAGACGUUAAGUUUAGUUUUUAUUCAAGUUUACAUGUCGAAGGUCAAAAGUGACCUUUUAUUUAAGAGCUUCAAACAAAUCAGAGUUCCAUACGUGUGUUUCUAGAGUUUAUAUUCUGAUAAAUA